UUUUUUUUUUUUUUUUUCACUUCCUCCUCUCUUUUUUGUCUUUCUUUUCUUCCAUCUCUUUGUUUCUUCUUCUCUGUUGGAUUAAACCAAAAACAUUUUGGCGGAUCAAAGUCAUGAAAAAGAUAUCACAGCAACCGGAAACAAAUUCGGCGGCUGCGAUUUGUCUGGUUACGAUGUGGAGCACCAGAUUGCAUCGCGGCGGAUUUGUUGCUCUAGAUAUGCCGCGACGUAGGGUGUCUGCCACGAUUUGGGCUAGAUCAUGGCGGUUCAAGGGCAGAUCGGAUGAGAUCACAGAGUAAUCACAUUCUUCCGCCACGAUCUGGCCGAUUCCGGCGGCCACUAAAUUUUUUUCUUCACUUCCUCCUCACAUGGCGGCCAACCAGUAGUUGGUUUUUUCUUUUUUGUUUUUUGGGUUGUGGGUCUGGAGAUAAAGAAAAAAAGAGAACCCACUGUUGGGUUGGAGAGAGACGGAAGGGAAAGAAGGGUUGGAAUUGCUUUACUAUGAGAAUAAGAUUUUGAUUCUUUGUUAUGUAGGUUGGACCUUGAAUUCAUGGAUUAAAUUUUAAAGCCUGGGAUCUUGUUUUCUCUUAAUUUUAGAUUAAGCCUAGAUGUUGCUGGCGUUUUGUUUUCUACAGGUACUUCUUAAAUGUCAUCUUCAAUAUACUCAACAAGAAGGUCUACAAUUACUUCCCAUAUCCAUAUUUUGUUUCUGUUGUACAUCUUCUAGUUGGAUUUGUAUAUUGUCUUGUUUCUGAGGGUGUUGGUCUACCCUAGCGUGCUGUUCAUUUGAUUUUGAACCAGAACCAGUUACUUGGAUUGCUGACUUAAACAAGGGUUUAUUUGGGCACCUCAAAGGUUUUCCAGGCGAUUUAAACCUUUUCUGGUCUCCACCUAGGUUAAAAAUGGCGAACCCCAUGGAGGAAAUUGUCAAAGAUGUAACUCAACAAAUACAAUGGAAGAUUUAUACAACAUUUAGGAGCUGGUAACAGAAGCAUCUUGGAAAUUGCUUCUGCCUUUCUUGUAUAUCUUCCUUGUAAACAAAUUUUAAUGUACUGAAUUCAUAGUUUCUGUUUAUUUAUAACUUAGAAAGAAUUUCAUUACAAAUUAUGUUCUUUU